GACGAACGCUGGCGGCGUGCCUAAUACAUGCAAGUUGAGCGCUGAAGGUUGGUACUUGUCCCCACUGGAUGAGCAGCGAACGGGUGAGUAACGCGUGGGGAAUCUGCCUUUGAGCGGGGGACAACAUUUGGAAACGAAUGCUAAUACCGCAUAAAAACUUUAAACACAAGUUUUAAGUUUGAAAGAUGCAAUUGCAUCACUCAAAGAUGAUCCCGCGUUGUAUUAGCUAGUUGGUGAGGUAAAGGCUCACCAAGGCGAUGAUACAUAGCCGACCUGAGAGGGUGAUCGGCCACAUUGGGACUGAGACACGGCCCAAACUCCUACGGGAGGCAGCAGUAGGGAAUCUUCGGCAAUGGACGAAAGUCUGACCGAGCAACGCCGCGGGAGUGAAGAAGGGUUUCGGAUCGGAAAACUCUGUUGGUAGAGAAGAACGUUGGUGAGAGUGGAAAGCUCAUCAAGUGACGGUAACUACCCAGAAAGGGACGGCUAACUACGUG
rnacentral:rRNA from 1 species